CCUACGGGAGGCUGCAGUGGGGAAUAUUGGACAAUGGGGGGAUCCCUGAUCCAGCCAUGCCGCGUGUGUGAAGAAGGCCCUCGGGUUGUAAAGCACUUUCAGUGAGGAAGAACGCCUGGUGGUUAAUACCCAUCAGGAAAGACAUCACUCACAGAAGAAGCACCGGCUAACUCCGUGCCAGCAGCCGCGGUAAUACGGAGGGUGCGAGCGUUAAUCGGAAUUACUGGGCGUAAAGCGCGCGUAGGUGGCUUGAUAAGCCGGUUGUGAAAGCCCCGGGCUCAACCUGGGAACGGCAUCCGGAACUGUCAAGCUAGAGUGCAGGAGAGGAAGGUAGAAUUCCCGGUGUAGCGGUGAAAUGCGUAGAGAUCGGGAGGAAUACCAGUGGCGAAGGCGGCCUUCUGGACUGACACUGACACUGAGGUGCGAAAGCGUGGGUAGCAAACAGGAUUAGAUACCCUUGUAGUC
rnacentral:rRNA from 1 species